AUGCCGAACUCUGGAGAGCGACACCCGCCAUUCAUCGAUUGAAUGAUGAGCGUGUCCACCGAAGGGGCGCACGGCGGGGCCGGCGGGUUCGAAGCGAACCGCAGAACCAGUCCGUAAUCUCUCAGGUAUCGAGGACAGAGGGGGUCAU
rnacentral:ncRNA from 2 species